AAAAAGCUUCUUUUUACUUGACCAGUUGACCUGUUUCCCUAUUUGGCAACUUUAACACUAUACUUUUGACUUAUUAUUUACCCUCAUCUUUUCAACAUCAUUUACCCACCAUAUUCUUAUCAUCUUCUCUCACCUCAAUCACUUGCCAAAACCCAUAGAUUUUGAAACCACCUUUCCUCCUCCAAGUUGUCCAUGGAAACCACCGUCAUUGCCACCCUUAUUUUUGAAGCACUGCCAAACAUCAAUCAAUAGUUCACCACCAGUAUCUCUCAUCUUCACUGGAAAAACCCUCGACCUUCCUCCCCGCAUUAAUCACCCUAUCUCGGUCACCUCUACCUUUGCUGCGUCAUUGACGACUCUCCUCCCUGAACAAGUCACCCACUCUCAUCUUCACCGCACAAGCCUCGACUCUUUAUUAAGUUUAUCAAAAUCAAAGCCAUGGAGGUCGAAUUUGGAUGGUUAUUUCAGAUCUGAAACUACGCACCAUAGUCAAAUUCAACCUACAAGCUCUCAACUCUUAAACUUUUGCUCAAGUAUGUGCUGUUGUUGGUGGUGUGGGUAUUUUAACUUUGGUAAAUUUGCUCAAGUAUGCAAAUCUGGUGGUAUGUACAAUGGUGGUUGUUGAUUUGUUGAAGUGUGGGUCUUGUCACUUUAAUCUGGCACUUGGAAGCAAAUCAAAUAUAGAUAUUGACGCCGCACGUGGAUGGCUAUCUUUUGGAGGUGGUUGUGGUACUAAAUCCGGCAACGUAGGUUGUUGUGGUGGUGAUUUCAAUAAUGGAAACGGGGGCGUUGACUACCCACGUGCAUCUCACGUGGUCGACGAAAAUCCACCCAAGCUUAUUUUUCCCCAAAUUUUUCCCUCGAAUUACUCUGUUCAAUGUUCUUGCCCCUCUUUCCAAUUAAACCCAAUUAUCUCCUUGCAAUUACUGUUCUCUGUUGCGACUCUGCCAUGGCAUGUUGAAAUUGAAUUCCCAUCCCUCGCAAAAGACUACAACAAGGAAGCAAGGUGAGGGGACCAGUUACAUAAUCAUCCAGAAAGAGAGAAAUCUCAAGUUUCAUGUGAUGAUGACUGGAGGCAAAUCGCUUGUUAGGUGGGAAGUGUUAGCGAAGAUAGAUCGGUUGCGAUCUUUUUUGGCCUAAGAGAUGCUUUUGAUGCUGGGUUUGGCAAGCUGUAGGUGUCAUCUGAUAUUAGUGUUCAAUUACUCCACCUUCCCUGCUUCAAUUCCCCUUGUUUCUUUUGAUAAGGGGGUUGAGUAAUAAAAUUUGCUUCUUCUAUUAUUGUUUUAACGAAAAAAAGUCAUUAGUUAUAGAUUUUUUUUUUCAUGUAUUGAAUUUUUGAUAUAUGUACUACGUACGUAAUUUUUGAGGAGUGUACGUACAAGAAAUAAUUUUCUCCUUUGUAUUUGAUCAUGAAAAAUAUGAAUAAAAUUAUGUAGUAUAUAAUGUUAAUAUU